rnacentral:rRNA from 1 species
UCCUCCUACGGGGCGCAGCAGUGGGGAAUAUUGCACAAUGGGGGAAACCCUGAUGCAGCAACGCCGCGUGAGUGAGGAAGUAUUUCGGUAUGUAAAGCCCUAUCAGCAGGGAAGAAGAAAUGACGGUACCUGAGUAAGAAGCACCGGCUAAAUACGUGCCAGCAGCCGCGGUAAUACGUAUGGUGCAAGCGUUAUCCGGAUUUACUGGGUGUAAAGGGAGCGCAGGCGGCACGGCAAGCCUGAUGUGAAAGCCCGCGGCCCAACCGCGGGACUGCAUUGGGAACUACCGGGCUGGAGUGCCGGAG